GGCCGCCCUUGGCCGUCGUCGUCGCCAGAUAUUCCUACAGGUUCCCGUUCCUCUCCUCCCCAAUUCGCUCCCGCAUCUUGCCUCCCCUUCCUCUGCUCUCUCGAGCCGCCGCCGUCGCUCUCCACCAAAAUGGCGACGUGCCGUGCCGUGCCUCCCCUCUCUAUUUCGGGGGCUUCCCGGUGGAAGCAGCAGGUCGCCACCUCUUUGGCGCAGCAAGUCCAUUAAUCCCCUCGUGGUGCUCCUCCCCCAAUCCUCUUUGCUUUUUGCCAGGACCCCCCUAUCCUCUUCACCUUCACUCUGCCGACCGGUUCACGGCGCUGCUGCCGGCGUCUUCCUCCAUGGGGUGUUCGGCCACGCAGGAAGAGGCACAGUUGCAGGGAUCCGAGUUGUUCACAGCGCCGGACGCUGCUGCGCCACCACGCCUCGGCAUUGACACGAGGUGCUAGGUAUGUACAUAAGUUGUUUGUGUAAAUGCCCAAGUGCAAAGACAGCUCCGUCAAGAAUUCUCACAGCUCAGCUUGGAUUCGUAGGGAAGAAGCAGACUAACAAAGGAAAAGUUCAGAGGAACUUGAUUAUACCGAGGAAUCCAAUGGCUGCAUGUCUGAUCUGCGGACUUUUAGAUUCUUCGUUAUUGGAUUAAAUUUUGUUUUGGAAGGAGGACUAUUACCAUUCCUGUGGGGUGAACGGCCCGAGUGACAAUGUCGGUGUGGCUGUUGCGGCUGCUCCUCAAAGCAGAGACUUCCAGGGCAGGUUAGCUUUCUCCACCUCCGCACUAGGACACAUAUUGCUAAUGCCUGAUACAUCUGUAAAUUAGGAAAUCAAAUCGAUGCUCCUACUAUGAUCAUUUUCUUUGCCUUUGUGUUGUCACUUGGCCCUGUCAAACUGUCUCCGGGGAUGAAGAUCCAUUUAAUUUUGCUGCUGUCAUGUCAUCAGGUGAGCUUAUGUGCUUAUUCGCAUUAAAUUUGUAUAUAGCAGAUUUCACUGUAUCCAAGACUGAAACUUAAGUAUAUUAUUCUACAAAGAAUCAGAAGUAUCUCUCACUCAUGUGAGGCUCAUACAUCAGGGAUAUUCCUAUACAAUUACAUUCAAGCCAGUACUAACUUUUGCUACUCUACAGCUCAAAAAAAAAAAACUUCUGCUACUCUAGGGGUUUUUAAAUAUUGAUGACAGUGAUUCUUGUGCUCAGAUUAUCCAAUGAUUACGUUUUAAGUUGUGUGAUGUGAUUGUUGUCGAUGCAAAGAUCAAACAAAAUGCUCUUGCCGGCCAAAAAUAAGGGAAGAUUAUCCUCCAUGUCUGAGAGGUAAAAGAUGGAUCUGCAUUGAUCUGUUUGUAUCAUUAUCCUAAUUUAAUAUUGUCAAAUUCAGUUAUUUCACAUUGUGGUGAUCGGCUUGAACAUACUAUUAUUUUAAUCAGCUGAUAGGUCAGACUGUAUAAUGAAAUAUGGUAGGUUUUUCUUUGUCUUAAGAAAUUAUUUAUGAUUUUGAUGUUGUUUCUUGGGCCAUGAUCUGGAAUAAGUUCUGGUUUCAUUCUCCAUUUUUCCGUUUUGUUGUCACACUCAAACUACAAUAAUGGUCAGGCUCUCAACCUGAUUUAUUUGCCUUGGCUUUUGUUUCUCAAUUUCUUGAUGUACUAAUUGCAUGGAUGCUGGUAGAGAAUUUUUCGUUGGGCUUUACCUUGAUGGCCUCAUAUAUCUAACAAUAUGUCUUAUGUAUUUAACCCUAUUUUAUAGCAUUCACAUGGUAUGUACUAAUUAAAUUUUGCCAUUUAUGUU